rnacentral:rRNA from 1 species
AUUGAACGCUGGCGGCAUGCCUUACACAUGCAAGUCGAACGCGAAAGCGGAGCAAUCCGCAAGUAGAGUGGCGAACGGGUGAGUAAUACAUCGGAACAUUUCCAGUAGCGGGGGAUAACCUGUCGAAAGAUAGGCUAAUACCGCAUACGCCCUACGGAGGAAAGCGGAGGACAGCAAGGCUUCGCACUAUUGGAGUGGCCGAUGUCGGAUUAGCUAGUUGGCGGGGUAAAAGCCCACCAAGGCUACGAGCCGUAGCUGGUCUGAGAGGACGAUCAGCCACACUGGAACUGAGACACGGUCCAGACUCCUACGGGAGGCAGCAGUGGGGAAUUUUGGACAAUGGGCGCAAGCCUGAUCCAGCCAUGCCGCGUGAGUGAAGAAGGCCUUCGGGUUGUAAAGCUCUUUCGGUGGGGACGAAACGGUUCGUGCUAAUACCAUGAACUAAUGACGGUACCCGAAGAAGAAGCACCGGCUAACUACGUGCCAGCAGCCGCAGUAA